rnacentral:rRNA from 1 species
CCUACGGGAGGCAGCAGUGAGGAAUAUUGGUCAAUGGACGAGAGUCUGAACCAGCCAAGUAGCGUGAAGGAUGACUGCCCUAUAGGUUGUAAACUUCUUUUAUAUGGGAAUAAAAUGUUCCACGUGUGGGAUUUUGUAUGUACCAUAUGAAUAAGGAUCGGCUAACUCCGUGCCAGCAGCCGCGGUAAUACGGAGGAUCCGAGCGUUAUCCGGAUUUAUUGGGUUUAAAGGGAGCGUAGGUGGAUUGUUAAGUCAGUUGUGAAAGUUUGCGGCUCAACCGUAAAAUUGCAGUUGAAACUGGCAGUCUUGAGUACAGUAGAGGUGGGCGGAAUUCGUGGUGUAGCGGGGAACUGCUUAGAUAUCACGAAGAACUCCGAUUGCGAAGGCAGUUCACUGGACUGCAACUGACACUGAGGCUCGAAAGUGUGGGUAUCAAACAGGAUUAGAUACCCCAGUAGUC